UACGUAGGGGGCAAGCGUUAUCCGGAUUUACUGGGUGUAAAGGGAGCGUAGACGGCGAUGCAAGUCUGAAGUGAAAGGCGGGGGCUCAACCCCUGGACUGCUUUGGAAACUGUAUGGCUGGAGUGCAGAAGAGGACAGUGGAACUCCAUGUGUAGCGGUGGAAUGCGUAGAUAUAUGGAAGAACACCAGUGGCGAAGGCGGCUGUCUGGUCUGCAACUGACGCUGAGGCUCGAAAGCAUGGGUAGCGAACAGG
rnacentral:rRNA from 1 species